GUGCGCAGCCGCCAUGGCGAGUGGGCGGGGACAGGGUGGGGCGGUGAGAAUCGGCCACGCCUCCGACUCCGGGACUAACGCGGCGUUCUGUCCUGCACUGCAAAAGUCUUCCAGAGGGCUGAGCUGUUGUUGACCACCAGGAACUGAAACGAGGGAAAGUAUAACCAUGGAUAAGAGAGGAUUACUGCAUAUCUAUACUGUGGGAUUCUACUCAGCAGUAAAAAGAAAUGAGCUAUUGACAUACAUAACAAUGUGGAUGGACCUCUGAGGCUCUACGUUGAAUGAAAAAAAAAAGGUCCAUACCCAGGCUUUGAAGUCCGAGGCAUCAAAUGACACAACUCUGUAUGGCUCCUCAAUUGCAGCCACAGGAAAGAUUCUGGACUGGGACCAUCUAGCUGAGUGACUCCUCCAUUCUUACCUCCAUGAAGAUGUGAUGUCUCCCUCCUCCUCAUGGCUUGUGACUUUGGCCUGCUGCCUGGUGCCACUCUUCCUGGAUUGCACUCCCCAGUGUUGGGCACUCAAAAGGAAAUCAGAUGGAGCCUCGAGAAGGCCACAGUAAUCAGUUCAAUGUGAAAUUAUUACAAUAGAGGUACAGUGCUCUGGAGUGCAGCUUAUCAAGUAAGUGACAUCAGUGCUGGGAUUGAUAAAUCAGGAGGAAUUUCUCAGGGAGGAGAACUUGAGGCAGAGAAAGUGCUGUUCCUGAAAAGACUGUGUGCACACAAUUUUAGAUUAUUACUGUUGGUCAAAUAACUAGUAAUGCAUAUUUCAUGUUCAGCUCAGUAGGGGCCCAAGAAAGUUCAUGGUCUUUCCUUAAGGGAGAUGAGAAUCUAGCUGGAGACACAAAACCACAACUGACUGCCUAGCAAGCCUACAAGGCAGCCUAUUAUUGCCAAAGAGAUUAGGCAGAAUCAGGGUGCCACAAGAGGGGUGAAUGGCCCAAGUAACCCAAGAAUGGAGCAGUAAAAAAAAAAAACUUCACAAGAAAGGCAGCUAAAUGGAGCCUCAGAGGACAGAACAGAGCAGAAGCAAACCCUGAAGUCACAUGCUUUCCCAAGGGUGGAAUUGAGGGCAUCUCACAACUUAUGGAGGAGCCUCACACACAGGAAGACUACUACAUCAUUACAGUAAUGGUGCCAAGGAUGUGCUCAUGGAGGUCAGUGAAUUAUCCAGUUAUUGAAAUCAAUGACUUUCCUUCACUCCCUGUUCUCUCUGUUCCAGGGAGGGAGCAAGCAGAUAAGUUGUACAGCAAGAAGAUGGAGUAGUCACCAGGUUGUUUUGUCAACUGUAAUUGGAUCCCGUACUCUACCCACAAUAAUGGUGUUCCUGGGAAGAAGUCAUGAGCUUUGGGCAUAUGUAACCCUCUUAUGCAUUACUAGUAGUGAGUUGAACAAAAUCCUUCCAGAUUUGCUAAGCUGAGGUCCCAGGCCUCACAGAAGGAAGAAUUGUGAGUUGGGAUCUUAAAUAGAAGAACAAAGUUAAAAAAUGGGCCUCAAUUUUUAUAAACCUAACCCUCUGCAAUUCCCCUUGUUUUGAGACAAAGGAGAACAUUUUACACCACUGGAAUAAACAAACUGUAGGGAUACCUACACCAGCUGAAAAACAACAGAUAAAACACUCUCUGCACAAGUAAUUGUAAGACCACACCUUUAACACAUUACCAAUAGCUGCUUUCUCAAAACAUUUCCUUGUUCCUUGGGGGAAGUCACUUUUAAAUGAUAGUUAUAGUGCUGGUGAGGUAGCUCAGUGGUAGAGAACUCAAGGCCUUUGGUUCAGUCCCCAGGACCAUCAAAUAAAAAAGGUGAUAGUCCAUAGACAAUUGGGCUCUUGUUUUUUGUUAUUGUAAACUAGGCAACACAAUUUUUGGUACUUGUUCAGUCUGUAAAGAAAUCCUUCCCAUCCCUAACUGUGAGUCUCCACAGUGGAAAGAAAGAAAGGUGCCUCCAGGACAAAGAACAGAUAAAUGAGAAGGAGGACAGAGGACAUUCCAUUCCUAACUCAGCCAAAGGUUGACAUUUCACAAAGAAUAUGUGGACAUCCAUGUUGUGUUGACAAAGCCCCAUGCCUGGGUACCGAGGUGUCCACAAGGAUGAGGGGACACGGAGCGCCCAGUUGUUGUAGCCACAGUAGCAGGGACGAUUGAACACUUGGGCACCUG
rnacentral:lncRNA from 1 species